rnacentral:tRNA from 2 species
ACAGAAGCCGGAUAGC